UCGAGGAUCUUCGGCAAUGGGCGCAAGCCUGACCGAGCGACGCCGCGUGCGGGAUGAAGGCCUUCGGGUUGUAAACCGCUGUCAGUGGGGAGAAAAUUGAUCAGGGUACUCUCUGGUCAUUGAUCUAUCCGCAGAGGAAGUGUGGGCUAAGUUCGUGCCAGCAGCCGCGGUAAGACGAACCACACAAACGUUAUUCGGAAUUACUGGGCUUAAAGGGUGCGUAGGCUGCGCAGAAAGUUGGGUGUGAAAUGCCUCGGCUCAACCGAGGAACUGCGCCCAAAACUACUGUGCUUGAGGGAGAUAGAGGUGAGCGGAACUUAGGGUGGAGCGGUGAAAUGCGUUGAUAUCCUAAGGAACACCCGUGGCGAAAGCGGCUCACUGGAUCUCUUCUGACGCUGAGGCACGAAAGCUAGGGUAGCGAACGG
rnacentral:rRNA from 1 species